rnacentral:rRNA from 1 species
UACGAAGGGAGCUAGCGGUGUUCGGCAUCACUGGGCGUAAAGCGCACGUGGGCGGAUGUGUCAGUCAGGGGUGAAAUCCCGGGGCUCAACCUCGGAACUGCCUCUGAUACAGCAUGUCUCGAGUCCGGAAGAGGUGGGUGGAAUUCCUAGUGUAGAGGUGAAAUUCGUAGAUAUUAGGAAGAACACCGGUGGCGAAGGCGGCCCACUGGUCCGGUACUGACGCUGAGGUGCGAAAGCGUGGGGAGCAAAUAGG